CCACGCGCACACGUUCCUCACCCCACCCUUCUCGCUCCCGAUCCCAUCUCCCCACGGGCCUCAACUUGGCUAUGGCGACGGGGAUCAACAACUCCUCUCCUUUGCCUUCUCAAUCGCCGCCCGCCACACGCCUCGCCGCGUCCCUCCUUCAUUCCCGUCCUCGAUUGGGCCGCCGCCGCCACCGCGCCAUCAGGGACGCCGGGGGAGUGCAACCACCGCGCCGCCAGGGUACGCCGCGUGUACCGGCAAUGCGUGAGUCGCCGCGGGUACCGCGCCGGUCGCUGCUUCUGACGAUGCGGGAGCCGCCCCAUCCGGCGAGGACGAGGGGCCCCGUCACCGCUGAUCCUCAGGGCGCAUGCUGCAUCUGAAGCCUCCCUAAUGAUCUCGUCCAUGGAGCACUGGAGUAUUGUUGUUGCGCCACUCCUUCUGUUCAUCGCCAAGAAGCAGGAGCAAGGCGAGAGGAAUUGUCCAACUGCCUUAAUUCAAGUUCAUUCUGAACAACACAUAAUUUUUCAAUGUACAGAAAAAGAUCCAAAAGCCCAUUGUUAUAUAGAAAAAAACUGAUUCAACUCAUAGGGUUGUGCAUGGCAUUUAUUAAUUGCAGGGCCCCAUUUUGCAUUUCGCACUGGGGCCUUGAAUUUCUGGAAUGCCCAUGCGUGUCGAAGAGGAUGCACGGCGCUGCAUCGAUGGCCACCAUGACGGGGCAAGCUGAUGGCAUCAAGCAUGAUGUAUGGAUGUGGGGUCUUCCUUUAGGUGAUGUUGGAUGGUACCUACCCUUUUGAGGAUCCAGAAGAUCACAAGAAUUUCAAAAUGAAAGUUCAGUGCUCAUUUUCGGACUUCCACCUUAUGAAUCAGUUUACCAAGAUGUGGAUGGUCAGGAGAUGCGAGCCCAACAAAGAUUUUGCUCAAGGCUACAACUUGAACCUCAAUCCUACAUGAAAAUUUAAUUUGUGCCAUGAAAAAUUCAGUUAGCUUUACGAUUCUAUUUUCGGUAUUCAUUUCUAUUAGAAGUUAAAAUAAGAACUCAAGUAUGUUCCUUACUGGAGUCAAUUGCGUGAUCAUUAAGCGGGUCAAAACUGAACAGUGUAUUGACCACCCAUCCUGUAUUAGACAAGGAAGCAUAUACACAUCAUUUAUACAUGGUUAGUGUGGAGCCAAAACCAUCCAGACUGAUCCAGCCAGUCCAGAUUCCGAGCGGACCAAGCAGGCGUGCGAAUGAUAUACAUUAGACCAUCUCCAUUAUAUUCUGAGCGAUCCGUUGAGUUUGCUGACUCUGACUAUCCUCCAUGUCCUACUCUGGUGAUGCUCCAACGUUCUCCUAGAGGUCUGCGUCAACAGCCUUCAAGAGUUUUUAUCAUUCACAUGAGUUCUAUUGAUUUGUCUUUAUUAGAAAAAGGGAAAUGGUGUACAUCUAAGUUCAUCUAAGUUAGCUUAGCAAAAUAGCAAACUUUGUUGAUUUUACAUUCAUAUGAAACAGGCGAGCUCAUCACACCUUUGAGCUGUUGCAAUUCUACAUCCUAAUACAAACAUGGAAUCUAGAGGUGGAAAUACGAUACAUCACUCUUCUCUCCUCUCUCCUGUCGUGCAAGAGCCUCCAAAUCAGUGGUUCAGGCUGUGGAUUUGGGGCUAUGGGCUAUUGAAAUCCGGCUAGGAGGGAUCUAGGUGUAUUUCAGCUUAUGGGAAAGCUUGGCUGAGUUUCAACUAUCUAUUGCCGUGGUGGAUGAGACUCAGUGGUCAUGGGAGACUACUGGCAUCUUCUGGGUGAGAUCUGUUUAUAUAUGCAGCAUGCUUUGCAUGAAGGAAGGUGAUAUCUACAGCAAGGUUGGCGUGGACCUAAAGUUUUGUGGAUCCAAAACUACGCACAACGCCGGAUAUUCAGUCCCUAGCAAAACUUCUUCACAGUUGGCCCUGGAUGGACCAUAGCAUUUCAUCAUGCAGGUUGGUAAUAUUGGUUUCUAUCUAUUAUAUGUAUUGUCAUGAUUUUUUUUGUUUUGUUUUUCUAAUACAUAUUUUUUCCAUAUUGCAUUUCCAUAUGCUUCCCCUGACCACUUUAUCUUGACCCUUGGGAUAUCUGUUGCCUUGGUCAAGCUUAAGAUGAUUCAGGACCUUAGAUAUGCAUUGAAACUUCAGAGGAUCGCAUUUUACCUAAACCAAGCAUUGAAAGUACCUCAUCUUGACGAUGAUACUUCUUUCUAGCAUGGUCGAUUACCAGCUUGUGUUCCAAAAAACACAGAUAGAUGAGUGACUCUGAAACCCACUAAUGCAUCUUAUUUAGUUUUUGCAAUGGUUAAGAUAAUGACAAUGAAUUUAUCUACAGGAACUUGUUUGGUUAUUAUGCUUUUAGCGGCACACGUGUUGGCAUGAAUAUGGCACUAACAUUCUUUAGAGUCGGGUGGGAAAGCAUGUGGGCAAGAGAGAUGGUUUUGGGUUGGCCACAGUUGCCAGACGCAGGCGUGGUAGCGGUCC